UUGGAGGGCAAGUCUGGUGCCAGCAGCCGCGGUAAUUCCAGCUCCAAUAGCGUAUAUUAAAGUUGUUGCAGUUAAAAAGCUCGUAGUUGAAUUUCGGGGUCAGUAGGUCGGUCGUGCCACUGGUAUGAACUGGUUUUACUGAUUCCUCCCUCUUGAAGAACUGUAAUGCCAUUAAUUUGGUGUUGCAGGGAAUCAGGACUGUUACUUUGAAAAAAUUAGAGUGUUUAAAGCAGGCUUUAGCUUGAAUACAUUAGCAUGGAAUAAUGAAAUAGGGCGUUUGAUCCUAUUUUGUUGGUUUCUAGGAUUGACGUAAUGAUUAAUAGGGAUAGUUGGGGGCAUUAGUAUUCAAUUGUCAGAGGUGAAAUUCUUGGAUUUAUUGAAGACUAACUACUGCGAAAGCAUUUGCCAAGGAUGUUUUCAUUAAUCAAGAACGAAAGUUAGGGGAUCGAAGACGAUCAGAUACCGUCGUAGUCUUAACCAUAAACUAUGCCGACUAGGGAUCGGAUGAUGUUAAUUUUUUAAUGACUCAUUCGGCGCCUUACGGGAAAC
rnacentral:rRNA from 1 species